AGCAGCCGCGGUAAUUCCAGCUCCAAUAGCGUAUAUUAAAGUUGUUGCAGUUAAAAAGCUCGUGGUUGAAUUUCGGGAUCAAUUAAUUGGUCGUGCCUCUGGUACGUACUGAUUUUAUUGGUUUCUCCCUUCUGACGAACCAUGAUGUCAUUAAUUUGGUGUCGUGGAGAAUCAGGACUGUUACUUUGAAAAAUUAGAGUGUUUAAAGCAAGCUAACGCUUGAAUACAUUAGCAUGGAAUAAUGAAAUAGGACGUUUGAUCCUAUUUUGUUGGUUUCUAGGAUCGACGUAAUGAUUAAUAGGGAUAGUUGGGGGCAUUAGUAUUCAAUUGUCAGAGGUGAAAUUCUUGGAUUUAUUGAAGACUAACUACUGCGAAAGCAUUUGCCAAGGAUGUUUUCAUUAAUCAAGAACGAAAGUUAAGGGAUCGAAGACGAUCAGAUACCGUCGUAGUCUUAACCAUAAACUAUGCCGACUAGGGAUCGGAUGAUGUUAAUUUUUAAUGUACUCAUUCGGCGCCUUAA
rnacentral:rRNA from 1 species